rnacentral:rRNA from 1 species
UGCGUAGGCGGAUUUUUAAGUCAGUGGUGAAAGCCCGGAGCUCAACUCCGGAACUGCCAUUGAUACUAUUAAUCUUGAAUACAGUUGAGGUGGGCGGAAUGUGUAGUGUAGCGGUGAAAUGCUUAGAUAUUACACAGAACACCGAUUGCGAAGGCAGCUCGCUAAACUGUUAUUGGCGCUGAGGCACGAAAGCGUGGGGAGCGAACAGGAUUAGAUACCCUGGUAGUCC